rnacentral:rRNA from 1 species
UACAGAGGGGGCAAGCGUUGUUCGGAAUUACUGGGCGUAAAGGGCGCGUAGGUGGCCUUCUACGUUGAACGUGAAAUCCCUGGGCUCAACCCAGGAACUGCGUCCAAGACUGGGAGGCUUGAAUCCGGGAGAGGGAUGCGGAAUUCCAGGUGUAGCGGUGAAAUGCGUAGAUAUCUGGAGGAACACCGGUGGCGAAGGCGGCAUCCUGGACCGGGAUUGACACUGAGGCGCGAAAGCCAGGGGAGCAAACGGG